rnacentral:rRNA from 1 species
AAAACAUCGCCUCCCGCAAAAAUCAAUGUAUAGGAGGUCCUGCCUGCCCAGUGACUAUAAGUUAAACGGCCGCGGUAUUUUGACCGUGCAAAGGUAGCGCAAUCACUUGUCUUUUAAAUGAAGACCUGUAUGAAUGGUGAAACGAGGGCUUAACUGUCUCCCUCUUCUAGUCAAUGAAAUUGAUCUACCCGUGCAGAAGCAGGUAUAAUAAUACAAGACGAGAAGACCCUUUGGAGCUUAAGAUAAAAGACCAAUUAUGUCAAAAGUCCUAAAAAAGACUAAACCAAAUAAUGCUGGUCCCAAUCUUCGGUUGGGGUGACCACGGGAGAAAACAAAGCUCCCAUGCGGACUGGGACUAUCCCCUAAAACUAAGAAAGACAUCUCUAAGACACAGAACAUCUGACCACAAAGAUCCGGCUAUACGCCGACCAACGGACCAAGUUACCCUAGGGAUAACAGCGCAAUCCCCUUCCAGAGUCCAUAUCGACAAGGGGGUUUACGACCUCGAUGUUGGAUCAGGACAUCCUAAUGGUGCAGCCGCUAUUAAGGGUUC